rnacentral:lncRNA from 1 species
CCCUAUCCCUUUCAGAAAAGUAAUAAUCUUAUUAUUGUUAUUAGUGGAUAUUUCAUCUCAUUAUUGUAAAAAUUUCGACAGCAUCUUUCCAUAGUUCUCUAAGUAUACGAUGUGAAUAUGGUGCCUACGCAUCCUAUCCACUAUAUACCCAGAGAACAGUAGAUAAAUAACUACUGAAUACCAUAUAAUGAAAUAAAAUAUCAACUAUUAACAAUAAUAAGAUUAUUAUUUUUUCAAAAAAUUUGAAUACGGGA